UAACAAGGUUUCCGUAGGUGAACCUGCGGAAGGAUCAUUAUCGUAAAACCGAGGUGCGAGGGCUGUCGCUGACCUUUUCGGUCGUGCACGCCCGAGUGCUCUCACACAAUCCAUCUCACCCCUUGUGCACCACCGCGUGGGUCCCUCUCCGGCUCCUCCGGAGGGGGGCUCGCGUUUUCACACAAACUUGAAGUAGUGUAGAAUGUCCUUUUUUGCGAUAACACGCAAUCAAUACAACUUUCAACAACGGAUCUCUUGGCUCUCGCAUCGAUGAAGAACGCAGCGAAAUGCGAUACGUAAUGUGAAUUGCAGAAUUCAGUGAAUCAUCGAAUCUUUGAACGCACCUUGCGCCCCUUGGCAUUCCGAGGGGCACACCCGUUUGAGUGUCGUGAAAUUCUCAAAACCCUUUCUUUUGGUCAUUUUCGACCAUCGAAAGGAUUUUUGGACUUGGAGGCCUUUUUGCUGGUUUCACCUUGAAGCGAGCUCCUCCCAAACGUAUUAAUGGGGUCUGCAUUGUCGGUCCUUGGCGUGAUAAGUUGUUUUACGUCUUGGAUUUUUGGCGCUGUACACCUGCUUCUAACCGUCUCAUUGACAACGAUGGUGUUCCGGUCGCCGCCGAUUUUUCGGUGGGAGG
rnacentral:rRNA from 1 species